rnacentral:rRNA from 1 species
CAUUACAGAGUUCUAAAAGACUCCCAAAACCAUUGUGAACGUUACCCGUCAGCGUUGCCUCGGCGGGCGGCCCCUCCCUGGGGCCGCUGCCUCCCUCACGGGGGGUGCCCGCCGGCGUACGAAAACUCUUUUGUAUUUUAGUGGCCUCUCUGAGAAAACAAGCAAAUAAGUUAAAACUUUCAACAACGGAUCUCUUGGUUCUGGCAUCGAUGAAGAACGCAGCGAAAUGCGAUAAGUAAUGUGAAUUGCAGAAUUCAGUGAAUCAUCGAAUCUUUGAACGCACAUUGCGCCCGCUAGUACUCUAGCGGGCAUGCCUGUUCGAGCGUCAUUUCAACCCUCAAGCCCUGCUUGGUGUUGGGGUCCUACGGCUGCCGUAGGCCCUGAAAGCUAGUGGCGGGCUCGCUAUAACUCCGAGCGUAGUAGUAAAAUAUCUCGCUAGGGAGGUGUCGCGGGUUCCGGCCGUGAAAGCCCCAUCUUUUACACAAGGUUGACCUCGGAUCAGGUAG